AGCGAGCCCAACCCGGGCGACCACCCUCCAUUUUGCUGGAGGGAUGAUCCGGUCGUAUGCAGCUCAGAAGUCAGUCCCCACCCAAUUCAAGGGGGCUGCUGCUGCUUGCUGCCAAGGGAGUGCGCAUAAGUAGUACUGCAGCCCUGUGGACAGCGAACUUGGGCGUCGCUUCAGGGCUGGGCUGCUCCCGGACUCCCGCUCUGAGAAAGAAAGAAAGAGCGGAGAGUUGCACCUUUCUUGAGGGUCUGUCUCCAUGGCGGAGGCAGCGGAACUAAGCACAACGCAAGACAGCCGCCGGUUGGUUCUCUGCUCAGCUCUGGGGGAAGCAAGCAAGUAGAAAGGUCUGUCUUUGUGGGACUCUGGAGACCUCUCCCAUUUGAGCCCUAGCCCGGAAAAGGAGCGUCUCUGUGCAAGCCUGCGUGGGGAAAGUGUUGCCUUAUCUUUUAAAUUUAGGGCAUAUUAAUCUCCUUUAGGCUUUUUCCCUACACACCAACUAGGGAGUAAGCUCCAUUGAACACUGUGGGGCUUACUCCUGAGUAAACAUGUUGUGUUGUUUAUAACAUGAGGGCAGGGGCAUACCGUAGCUAGGGGAGGGGGCCGCGUUCGCCCCUCUCCCCAGCGGCCCCUCGGAGUGAGGGAGAUAAUGAAGACAAUAGGGAGGGGUGGAGCUGGGGGCCCUUAGGAGCCGGCUCCAUUAUAGCCACGACACCCCUGCAUAAGGGGCAAAACAUGGUGUGUGCAUUUUUCCCUCAGUAACUUUCUACUCAUUGGGAAGUUGUUCCCCAUAUCAGAUAGGAGGAUUUCCCCCCCCCCCACCUUGGGAUGCAAAAUGGCAUUUCACCUUCCAGGGAAUAAAACUAAGGUGCCAAGGGGAGGAGAGGACUUAGCACUACAUAAUCCAUUGGGAAAGAGAGAGAACCCAGGCACUCUGCCUUUCCAUCCUUUGCUUUAACCACUGUUACCCACUCUGCUGAAACGAGGGGGUUCACCAGGGAUUCAGGGGGCAAACCCUCUUCUCGGCACAGACUCUUCCAACCUGUGCCCUUUGGCACAUGGGAUCCUGACGACCAAACAGCCUGUACAGUAGUGACCCCAUCUUCCAACAAGGCACUCCUCAUGGAUUUGUUCCCAUCUGUAGUAGGAGAGAGGAAUAUUCACAAUGCCACCAUGACCACCAUUGCAUACUAUGUCACAUUUUGAAAGGUGCUUGCCUAUUCAGCAAGCAUGAAAUGGUGGACGUGCAUGCACUCACACACGCAAUAUGCAAGUCAUAGGUAAUGCAACCAGUCGAAUUCACUCCUGCGUGCACACACCAAUACACAGGCUUGCAUACUUAUUCUGCAAGCUUUCCUGACACUCCAUCCCACCCACCAAUCUUGGUGGCUACAGCCUUUUUUAAAACAGAAACCUUCUCAGUUACAAAGACUUGCAGAUUGUCACACCAUGCCACCUAUUCUGACACUUUUCCCCAUCUCCUGUUCACAGGCGUAUGUUAUCGCAUUGUGAUUGGCCCUGCAUUCUGAUGGGAUAUAUCCCCACCAUUCCAUCUCUGUUAGGCAUGGCUAGUGUUUCUGAGCUGAAGAACUGCAUACUGAAUUAUUUGGCUGGUGGCCCUUGGUGCUCCUCCCUGCCCAGCCAUCUCAUCACAGCCCGUGCUUACUCAGAUAACAACUGUUUCUUCCACCCAGCAGCCACCCUCACCCUCCAUGGCAAUGCUUUAUGUCCCCUCCCCUUGUUUCCUGCAGCCCUCCCACUUCUGUUUGUCCCCCCCGCCAGUCCCCAGCCAACCCUGUUGCUUCCAUAGAACCUGAAAGUUGGAAGGGAUCUUGGCAGUCUUCUAGUCCAACCCCCCUGCUCCGUGCAGGUACCCGGGGAGAGCUCCGUGCACCAGCUCUCUUCCACCUCACCAUGCCUUUGGAUCUCUCUGGGGGCCAUGCUUCAGUCACCAACACUGGUCUUUUUUUUCUUCCCAGGCUCCCUUUUUAUCAAACUGAACAUCACUGUGGGAUGUGACUGAGGUUAGGGUGCUUGGUCGUUGUUUUUGUUUUAAUUCUGUAAAUAGAAGCUGGAUUAGGAUCACAGUGUGGUGGGGAGGGGGUGCCUCUACCACAGGAAUCCAGAUUACCUCCCCCACAGCUAUAAUUUACCAUGGCAAAAAUCUCCAGUAAACAAGGGCAACCUGACUUUUCUCUUUUCUUCCUCAAGAGCCGCAUGUUGCUCUUAGAUGACAGUGUGCUCACACCUGCUCUGUCAGUAUCCUGUGGUCCCUCACCCCACCUUUGUACCUCUCUACCUUUACUGUAGUUCCCUUCUGUCUGUCGUCCAUGGCGUACUCUUCCCUCCUCCUCCCCAAGAGCCUACCACUGCCUACUUGGUUACUUAUCUUGAAGCCACUUCAUGCAUUAAGAUUUCCCUUUUCAUUGUAGGGAAAAUGUGUACAUCCCAUUUGAGGAUCAACCUGUGUGACAAGGAAAUUUGCUGCAAGCGCCCCUGUGAUUAUUUGCCCAAAGCUUUCAGGCAUUAUCCUGUUACCAGACCUUUCCAUACAGAAAGAUCUAGUGUGUGAAGCACUCCUUAGGCAGCAGGAUUGGAAAGUGUGGCUCAGCUAAACAGCUCGCCCUUGCUUGGGCACUCACAGAACCAUACAGGAUUCUGCCGCAGCUCUGUCUCAGUGAUUUGAAAUCUGCAAUGAGCUUUUUCACACAAACAUACACAAAAAGUAUCAUCUGCCUGGCUGACAGCUGUUCUUGUAAACUGGUUCCACUGAGAAGUAUUAUGUUUGGGGGGAUGUGAGGUGGUAGGAAAGGUCUGUCUAUGAAAUUUGUUGAAGCUGUGCUGGCCAUUUUGCACAUACAAGCCAUCCCUUUGUAGUCAUUGUGAUGGAAGAUGUAUGAACUUGCCCAGAUGGAAGCAUUCUCAGUCCAGUGAAAAAUGGGCCAGGUUGGGGCAUGGAACAGCUGCUGCGGUUGCACAAUGCAGCUGUAUCUCUGUCUUCUAAUACCUCUUUGCUUGCACAAAAAUGGAAGGCAUAGAAAUCUCCUAGCCUGUGGCAGAGGAGAGCCCACACUCCCAACAGCCUACCAGAGCGCCACUUCCAACAGUAAGAGGACCAUGGAGCAGUUUGUCCAGUCCUUGGGCCCCUACUGAGGCUGCCAAUAUCUAGAUGUAUUAAUGCCAGCCACAGUUAAUAGGUUUGGAAAAUGCUGGCGCCUGUUUUCAUUAGUUUAGGAGGAAGAUGAGGCAGGCUUGGAGCAGUGGGGACUUUUGCACAUUUAAUGAGGCGUGUGUGAUGCGGUGGGCAAAGUGCUGGGUGUGGAUUUGCAAGACUGGCACUUGGAAUCUGUCCAUCCAUGCGGCAUGCAGCUGUCUGCACACCUGUGCCAAGAAAAUUCAGAAUUCUAUACUAUGAAAGGCUGAACUGUGUGACCUCUGUACACUGAGAUAUUAAGCAAGUUUGCAUGUAUUUAUUUAAAAUGUUUAUAACAUGCCCCUCCAGGAGAACUACUGUUUGUGGUGGCUCACAACACCUCUUGCUUAACUUUAUUUUUACGUUUAUAUCCUGCUCUUCCUUCAAGGAGCCCAGAACGGUUUAUAUGGUUGUGUUGAUCCUCACUGCAACCGUGUGAGAUAGAUUAGACUGAGAGGCUGGUGAACUCCAGGGCUCAGCCAAUCAGCACACCAGGUGGUUGGGACCUAGAGAGCUGUUGCCAAGGAGAAGGGAGUUCUUUGGUGAAAAGGCUUGGCUGAAGGUGCACAGGAGGACACAUGGCCAUAGAGGUUGGCUGCAGGAGAAUAAUUCUGCAGAUCCUUGAAAGACAGGAGGGUAGGAAGCUUGAAUUCUCACCAGGGGUUUGGUGAGUUCAAGGCAAGGAGCCAGGGCUUAUGGCUUCGGAAAGAUUAAUUUGGAGGAAAGUUUGUUUUGUCAGACUAAAUCUUAUAUUUAUUUUUUGUGUGCUCUGCAUAUUCUGGAUACUGUUCUAUUAUAGUUUACCUGUAACAUAAUUAAAAUAAGAAACACUAGCCUACACUCAAUACAACUAGGGUGUUGCAAAACCCUCUGUAAACGUUUAAGCAUGCAUUAAGACAACCUAUCUUUGUAUUCCUACUAAGUAUUCUUAACUGUACCUAAAAGCUGAGAAAGCCUCAGAUGGAAGUAGUCUGUAGUAAUUGAAUAAAACUGGUUUUUAAAAUUCAUUUCUUUUUA